rnacentral:rRNA from 1 species
AACUACCCUGGCUACCCCCCUUCCCCAUCAACCUUUUUAUAAACUUUAAUUCACCCUGCAAAGAAUUCCCUUCUUACUUUUAAGCAGACUCUUAAUCGUACCUUUUGCAUCAUGGCGUGACAAGUCCAUUAUAAAUUUAUUAAACCCGAAAAUAGACCGAGCUGUUUCCUACUUGCUAAGAGCAUUAUCUGUAUUAUUGCAACACUAUGGAAAAAUUAGAAAACAGAGGCUACAUACCACCGCGGCUAUUAAUACCUGGUUAUAUCUCUCUCUGAUAUUAGUCAGAAAAGCAUACAGCUGUUAAAAUAUUAAAGGAAAAGCUUUAAUAUACCACUUAUAGAACUCACCUAGAAAUUAAAGUAGGCCUACCAACAGCCAUCUAAGAAAACGUCACAGUUCAUACUUAAAUUUUUUCAUAAUAUUCCCCCCUAUUAACACAAAAUAUAACAUGCUCCCCGCCAGCAUUUAAUAUAAUGUAUCGACUAGUAUUAUUAUCAUAAGCGUUAGAAAUCAUAAAUAUCUAAUACACGCUCUGAUUCUUUAUCUCUACUGAAAGGAACUCGGCAACCCAUUAUUCUGCCUGUUUAUCAAAAACACCGCCUGUUGAACCUAUAACAGGUCAAUCCUGCCCAGUGAUUCUUAUUCAACGGCCGCGGUACCCUGACCGUGCAAAGGUAGCAUAAUCAUUUGCCUUUUAAUUGAAGGCUAGUAUGAAGGGAUAAACAGAAUAACCCUGUCUCUCAGAGAUAUCUAAAAACUGAUAUUCAGGUGAAGAAGCCUGAAUUACAAUACAGGACAAGAAGACCCUAUAGAGCUCUGAAUGAAAUUUUAUACUCAAAAUAUCCAUUCUUGAUUGGGACGAUCAGGGGUCAUCUAAACCACCCCUUCUAUUCAAGACUGAUAUGUCUCCAACUACCCCCCAUAGUAUUUAAUAAAGCUACCUUAGGGAUAACAGACUAAUCCCGCUAGAGAGAUCACAUUGACAGCGGGGCUUGGCACCUCGAUGUUGGCUUAGUGUAACUAUCAGGCGCAGCAGCCUGAUAAAGUCGGUUUGUUCAACCGUUAAAUCACUACAUGAGCUGAGUUCAGACCGGCGUAAGCCAGGUUAGUUUCUAUCCGUAUCUUUAACCUCAUGCCGUAGUACGAAAGGACCCAGCAUGGUAAAUUAUUUAUACCCAAUAAAAAUAAAUU